CGAGACUCUGUCUUAAAAAAGAAAAAAAAUGAAGCACAUCGCAUUCACCAUUCCCUAGGUCUUGCGGUCAGUGGACCGCUGGUCAGCAGGGACUCUGGAGAACUCCAUCCUCAAUGCCUACCUGAACACCAUCAGGGAGAGCCGGCACUUCCUCUACAUUGAGGUCUGACCGGGAGGAGGUGGGGGAGAGCAUGCAAGGGGUGUCCCAGGAGAGAGACCUGGGGAAUGAGUGGAGUCAGUCAUCGAGGGCUGGUGGAGCAGAAGCAGACGCCUGGAGCCUGGGACCAAGGCUGUAGGCCGAGGACAGGGCCAGGGGCCAGGCUGCUGAUGUCUGUCUCUGGUUCUUGCCCCAGAAUCAGUUCUUCAUUAGCUGCUCAGAUGGGCGGACGGUUCUGAACAAGGUGGGCGAUGAGAUUGUGGACAGAAUCCUGAAGGCCCACAAACAGGGGCAGUGUUACCGAGUCUACGUGCUUUUGCCCUUACUCCCUGGCUUCGAGGGUGACAUCUCCACGGGCGGUGGCAACUCCAUCCAGGCCAUUCUGCACUUUACUUACAGGACCCUGUGUCGUGGGGAGUAUUCAAUCCUGCAUCGCCUCAAAGCAGCCAUGGGGACAGCAUGGCGGGACUAUAUUUCCAUCUGCGGGCUUCGUACCCAUGGAGAGCUAGGCGGGCACCCCGUCUCGGAACUCAUCUACAUCCACAGCAAGAUGCUCAUCGCAGAUGACCGGACAGUCAU
rnacentral:sRNA from 1 species